rnacentral:rRNA from 1 species
AUGGGAGCAGCUGCGCCGGUGGCUCUCGUGCACAGCGCGUGCAUCUGUAACCUUCUAAAGUCCUCCUUCGCGAACUGCAUCGCAUCGCCGGCCGGAGCGCCGGCCAUCUGGCCGUUCCCCUUUGCGGUGUGGUACGCCGUCUCCGCCGCAGCUGCAAUCUCCUCCGGCGCCAGAGCUGUUAAGCGGCGUUUCCUCAUCCAGCAGCAGCGACGACGGCUCCUAUCCAUCUACCAAAGAAAGGAGCAUUAUCUUAUCCAGCGCCAGCAUUUGUACGAACAGGCUCUCUAUACUGAAGAGGAAACUGAAAUAUGUGCCAUGAGGCUUCACAUCAGGAUAUGUACCAAGCAUCAAGACAUCAUCCCAAGCACACUAUACGAAGUACGGACAGGACACACGAUGUGA